GGCAAAUUAGCUCAGUUGGUUAGAGCGCACGCUUCACACGCGUGAGGUCGGCGGUUCGACCCCGCCAUUCGUCA